rnacentral:rRNA from 1 species
UGAAUACGAGAUGCUACGGCAUCGAAGCAGUCUAUGUCAUACUUCCAAGAAAAGCUUGCACUGUCAUAAACAAAUAAUGCCUGUACCAUAACCGACACAGGUGGGUAGGUAGAGUAUACUAAGGGGCGCGAGAUAACUCUCUCUAAGGAACUCGGCAAAAUGACUCCGUAACUUCGGGAGAAGGAGUGCCUUAUUUUAUAAGGUUGCAAUAACAAGAUCCAAGCAACUGUUUACCAAAAACACAGGUCUCCGCUAAGUCGUAAGACGAUGUAUGGGGGCUGACGCCUGCCCAGUGCCAGAAGGUUAAAGAAGUUGGUUAGCAUUAGCGAAGCUGAUAACUGAAGCCCUGGUGAACGGCGGCCGUAACAAUAACGGUCCUAAGGUAGCGAAAUUCCUUGUCGGGUAAGUUCCGACCCGCACGAAAGGCGUAAUGAUUUGGAUACUGUCUCGGAGAGGGGCUCGGUGAAAUAGACUUGUCUGUGAAGAUGCGGACUACCUGCACCAGGACAGAAAGACCCUAUGAAGCUUUACUGUAACUUGAGAUUGAAAUUGGACUUUAUUUGCGCAGUAUAGGUGGGAGACGUUGAAAAUAUUCUUGCGGGAAUAUUGGAGUCAUCAGUGAGAUACCACUCUUAUAAUGUUAGAUUUCUAACUUUGUAUCAUUAUCUGGUCAAGGAACAGUCUCAGGCGGGCAGUUUGACUGGGGCGGUCGCCUCCCAAACGGUAACGGAGGCGCACAAAGGUUUCCUCUGAACGUGUAGAAAUCGUAUCUAGAGUGUAAAGGCAUAAGGAAGCUUGACUGUGAGACCUACAAGUCGAGCAGGGACGAAAGUCGGUCUUAGUGAUCUGACGGUGCUGAGUGGAAAGGCCGUCACUCAACGGAUAAAAGUUACUCUAGGAUAACAGGCUGAUCUCCCCCAAGAGUUCACAUCGACGGGGAGGUUUGGCACCUCGAUGUCGGCUCAUCGCAUCCUGGGGCGGUAGUACGUCCCAAGGGUUGGGCUGUUCGCCCAUGAAAGCGGUACGCGAGCUGGGUUCAGAACGUCGUGAGACAGUUCGGUCCAUAUCCGGUGUAGGCGUUAGAAUAUUGAGAGGAGCCUUCUUUAGUACGAGAGGACCGAGAAGGACAUACCUCUGGUGUACCAGUUAUCGUGCCAACGGUAAACGCUGGGUAGCUAUGUAUGGAGAGGAUAACCGCUGAAAGCAUCUAAGUGGGAAGCCCACCUCAAGAUAAG